rnacentral:lncRNA from 1 species
CAGGCAGGAGCCAGCUAGCCAGGAAGGCAGCAACGGCUCUCAUCUUCUUCGACUCCUCUGCGUCGUCGUCGCCGCCGCCAUGAGCGAGCUUUGGAUCGGCCGUGGCCCCUGCCUUGAGCCUCCUCUUCCACAAGUGUGCCCCUUGCUUCCAUUCUCCCCCCUCUCCCCUCCCUUCCUCUCCCUUCCUCUCCCUAUUUUUCUUGUUUUCACGUGCUAGGGUUUUGGGGUUCUUGGUUUUAUUAUCAUUAACCCAUUUGUGUAAGUUUAUCUAAUUAGGUUUGCAUGCAUGCACAUAAUCAACCCCUUUGUGUACGUUUGAGUGCUCCAUAAGUGAGUUUUCCUCUUUCUUUUACGAUACAACCAUCGUAGAUUUUGCCCAUUUUAUCUAUUUUACUCUAUUAAUUAAUCAUCAUUUUCUUAAUUUUGGGAGCAUAAUUAACUAAUCAUCAUUAACCAAUAUGCAGUGUAGAGAGAUAUAUAUACCAGUAUAUAUUGAUGAAUUGACAUCACCCAUUUGUUCAAAUAUGGAAUUUUUCAUUCUCUGGGUUCUAUAAGCCUAUAAAUUGAUAAUUUGAAUCUAGUUAUUCACAUUUCAGAUUACUUCUUGAUUAUAAGGAAACUUCUUUACAUACCAUGGAAAGAGCUAUUUCUACAUCAGAUGCUUCGGUUGACAGCCUCACUGUUGAUCUUUCUUACAACGCUCACAUAAGAAAAUGGCUAGAGUUUGGGAGCAUAUUGAGACAGAACUAAUUGAUGGAAAAGAAAAGACAAUCUGCAAAUUUAAUAUAGAUAGUUUAAUUAUGUCUCAUAAGCAUAGAGUGGAUUGUUUUAAAUUUACUGUUUCAGCUAAUGUUGAUCACUCAUCAUCUUCAUAAUGUCCUCUAUUUCAGAUAAUCAUAGAUGCAUCUGGAGCACCUGAUGUCCUAACCAAAUUCAAUUGAUGGCACAUUAGAUGCAGUGACACAUACUCUCUCGUGAUGCAGUGAUGCACAACCAAAUUCAAGCUAGGGUUAAUCGGGGGCACUAAUUAGAACAUCAUAAUUAGAUUUUUUUUUGUUUUGUUCAAUCACUUUUCACGUUUGCACAUACUCUCUUGUAGUCUCAUGUUUAUUUGAGCUAGCCUUUUGGAGUCCACAAGCUAUUCUGUUGUGCUUUGGUGGCUACUGCAAUGAACAUGCUCAAUGGCCCA